UUUCUGCUACAUUAAAUAAAAUAUCGUGGAGGAACACUAAGAAAGGGGCUGUGCAUCUCAACAUAUUCAAGGCCAAGCAGCUUUUUACCAUAUCCAUAGUAUCUUGCUGCUAAAUGAAAGAAUUAUUGUGGAGGAGCAGAGAAAUGGGCACUUCAACAUGUUCAAGGUCAAGCAGAAAUUAGGAGCUAGAUGUGCUUCUCCAGAACUGAAAACUUCUUGGCAUGAAGAGAAGAAAAAGCAAGAAGAAGCAGUUUUAAAUAUUGAUUACGUCUUCAUAGUACACAAAAAUUAUUCUAAAGAUAAUACUAUCUAUGAAAUUAGAAAGCUGAAGUUGUGUUCUGAUGAAUGUGAGAAUGUCUU